CGAAGGGGGCAAGCGUUGUUCGGAAUUACUGGGCGUAAAGGGCGCGUAGGCGGCUCUUUUAGUCAGGUGUGAAAGCCCUGGGCUCAACCUGGGAGUGGCACUUGAUACUGGAGGGCUAGAGAGUGGGAGAGGUUGGUGGAAUUCCCAGUGUAGAGGUGAAAUUCGUAGAUAUUGGGAAGAACACCGGUGGCGAAGGCGGCCAACUGGACCAUUUCUGACGCUGAGGCGCGAAAGCGUGGGGAGCAAACAGGAUUAGAUACCCUGGUAGUCCACGCUGUAAACGAUGAGUGCUGGACGUUGCGGAGCUUGCUCUGCGGUGUCGUAGCUAACGCGCUAAGCACUCCGCCUGGGGAGUACGGCCGCAAGGUUG
rnacentral:rRNA from 1 species